GAGGGUGUGGCUCAGUGGUAGAGCAUGUGCUUAGCAUGCAUGAGGUACUGGAUCCAAUCCCCAGUCCCUCC
rnacentral:tRNA from 1 species